CAGCAGCCACGGGAAUACGGAGGGUGCAAGCGUUAAUCGGAAUUACUGGGCGUAAAGCGCACGCAGGCGGUCUGACAAGUCAGAUGUGAAAUCCCCGGGCUUAACCUGGGAACUGCAUUUGAAACUGUCAGGCUGGAGUCUUGUAGAGGGGGGUAGAAUUCCAGGUGUAGCGGUGAAAUGCGUAGAGAUCUGGAGGAAUACCGGUGGCGAAGGCGGCCCCCUGGACAAAGACUGACGCUCAGGUGCGAAAGCGUGGGGAGCAAACAGGGUUAGAUACCCGGGUAGUCCCUGUCUCUUAUAA
rnacentral:rRNA from 1 species